CGUAGGUGGCAAGCGUUGUCCGGAUUUAUUGGGUUUAAAGGGUGCGUAGGCGGUUUUCUAAGUCAGCAGUGAAAUACGGCAGCUCAACUGUCGAGGUGCUGUUGAUACUGGGGAACUUGAGUACUGAUGAGGUAGGCGGAAUGGACGGUGUAGCGGUGAAAUGCUUAGAGAUCGUCCAGAACACCGAUAGCGAAGGCAGCUUACUAAGGAGUAACUGACGCUGAGGCACGAAAGUGUGGGGAUCAAACAGGAUUAGAUACCCUGGUAGUCCACACUGUAAACGAUGAUUACUCGAUGUGUGCGAUACACAGCACGCGUCUUAGCAAAAGCGAUAAGUAAUCCACCUGGGGAGUACGCCGGCAACGGUG
rnacentral:rRNA from 1 species